GGUUAAGCGACUAAGCGUACACGGUGGAUGCCCUGGCAGUCAGAGGCGAUGAAGGACGUGCUAAUCUGCGAUAAGCGUCGGUAAGGUGAUAUGAACCGUUAUAACCGGCGAUUUCCGAAUGGGGAAACCCAGUGUGUUUCGACACACUAUCAUUAACUGAAUCCAUAGGUUAAUGAGGCGAACCGGGGGAACUGAAACAUCUAAGUACCCUGAGGAAAAGAAAUCAACCGAGAUUCCCCCAGUAGCGGCGAGCGAACGGGGAGCAGCCCAGAGCCUGAAUCAGUAUGUGUGUUAGUGGAAGCGUCUGGAAAGGCGCGCGAUACAGGGUGACAGCCCCGUACACAAAAAUGCACAUGCUGUGAGCUCGAUGAGUAGGGCGGGACACGUGGUAUCCUGUCUGAAUAUGGGGGGACCAUCCUCCAAGGCUAAAUACUCCUGACUGACCGAUAGUGAACCAGUACCGUGAGGGAAAGGCGAAAAGAACCCCGGCGAGGGGAGUGAAAAAGAACCUGAAACCGUGUACGUACAAGCAGUGGGAGCACAGAGCAAUCUGUGUGACUGCGUACCUUUUGUAUAAUGGGUCAGCGACUUAUAUUCUGUAGCAAGGUUAACCGAAUAGGGGAGCCGAAGGGAAACCGAGUCUUAACUGGGCGUUAAGUUGCAGGGUAUAGACCCGAAACCCGGUGAUCUAGCCAUGGGCAGGUUGAAGGUUGGGUAACACUAACUGGAGGACCGAACCGACUAAUGUUGAAAAAUUAGCGGAUGACUUGUGGCUGGGGGUGAAAGGCCAAUCAAACCGGGAGAUAGCUGGUUCUCCCCGAAAGCUAUUUAGGUAGCGCCUCGUGAAUUCAUCUCCGGGGGUAGAGCACUGUUUCGGCAAGGGGGUCAUCCCGACUUACCAACCCGAUGCAAACUGCGAAUACCGGAGAAUGUUAUCACGGGAGACACACGGCGGGUGCUAACGUCCGUCGUGAAGAGGGAAACAACCCAGACCGCCAGCUAAGGUCCCAAAGUCAUGGUUAAGUGGGAAACGAUGUGGGAAGGCCCAGACAGCCAGGAUGUUGGCUUAGAAGCAGCCAUCAUUUAAAGAAAGCGUAAUAGCUCACUGGUCGAGUCGGCCUGCGCGGAAGAUGUAACGGGGCUAAACCAUGCAC
rnacentral:rRNA from 1 species